UGGCUGUCAGCCAAUCAGCAUUCAGGGCUCGAACCCCCCCAGUUUAUAAUGCCCUGUAGAUUACGUGGAAUUUCAGUCCACUUGAAUCAUGUACUGUCUCCUCAGUGGCAACAUUCCCAUGUCAGACAAUGUAUUUCCAGAGAACUUGGCUGGCCAAACAGGGAGAGACUCACAGCUAAAGCAAGGGCUCCAUCUCCUGGUUGAUGCAUCAAAACCCAUUCCUGAGGUGCUGCCAGCCCUCCCGCCGGUGGAAUAUCUGGUUGGAAUUGAAGGGACGGCAGGACACACACACAGUGACUGGGACAUAUAGACCAUCUAGAUGACGACUACGUGCGUGAAUGGCAAUGCAGGAAGUACCAAAGUGUGUUUUUGUGCGUGCGGCAUCCAUUUGAGCUGUUUCCCCUCCCUCCUCCGCUGGGUGAGGACACGGCGAGAUGAAUCGAAGCACCUACACCUACGGCAGUGCUGCUGUCUAGAUCUGCUGCUGUCUCUAACCUUGUCCUCUUUAACCUUCACACCUCCUGAUUUCCCUCCUGUGAAACCACACACUGACUGGGACAUGUGCUAUAGGUUGAGCUUCAGUAUCAGCAAACUGGUUUGAUAUUGGGAGUGGCGAAAUAGCAUGGUACCG
ensembl:lncRNA